rnacentral:rRNA from 1 species
ACGAAGCAGUGAUGUGGAGCGAAACUCAAAAAAAUAAGUCUCAGUUCGGAUUGAAGGCUGAAAUUCGCCUUCAUGAAGCCGGAAUUGCUAGUAAUGGCAGGUCAGCAUACUGCCGUGAAUACGUUCCCGGGCCUUGUACAUACCGCCCGUCACACCAUGAGAGUUGGGAAUACCCGAAGCCUGUGAGCUAACUUUUAGAGGCAGCAGUCGAAGGUAGAAUCAAUGAUUGGGGUGAAGUCGUAACAAGGUAUC